rnacentral:rRNA from 1 species
UUCCGGUUGAUCCUGCCGGACCUGACUGCUAUCGGAUUGAUACUAAGCCAUGCGAGUCAUUGUAGCAAUACAAGGCAUACGGCUCAGUAACGCGUAGUCAACCUAACCUAUGGACGGGAAUAACCUCGGGAAACUGAGAAUAAUGCCCGAUAGAACAUUAUGCCUGGAAUGGUUUAUGUUCCAAAUGAUUUAUCGCCGUAGGAUGGGACUGCGGCCUAUCAGUUUGUUGGUGAGGUAAUGGCCCACCAAGACUAUUACAGGUACGGGCUCUGAGAGGAGUAGCCCGGAGAUGGGUACUGAGACACGGACCCAGGCCCUAUGGGGCGCAGCAGGCGAGAAAACUUUGCAAUGUGCGAAAGCACGACAAGGUUAAUCCGAGUGAUUUGUGCUAAACGAAUCUUUUGUUAGUCCUAGAAACACUAACGAAUAAGGGGUGGGCAAGUUCUGGUGUCAGCCGCCGCGGUAAAACCAGCACCUCAAGUGGUCAGGAUGAUUAUUGGGCCUAAAGCAUCCGUAGCCGGCUCUGUAAGUUUUCGGUUAAAUCUGUACGCUUAACGUACAGGCUGCCGGGAAUACUGCAAAGCUAGGGAGUGGGAGAAGUAGACGGUACUCGGUAGGAAGUGGUAAAAUGCUUUGAUCUAUCGAUGACCACCUGUGGCGAAGGCGGUCUACUAGAACACGUCCGACGGUGAGGGAUGAAAGCUGGGGGAGCAAACCGGAUUAGAUACCCGGGUAGUCCCAGCUGUAAACUAUGCAAACUCAGUGAUGCAUUGGCUUGUGGCCAAUGCAGUGCUGCAGGGAAGCCGUUAAGUUUGCCGCCUGGGAAGUACGUACGCAAGUAUGAAACUUAAAGGAAUUGGCGGGGGAGCACCACAAGGGGUGAAGCCUGCGGUUCAAUUGGAUUCAACGCCGGG